GGUUUACCUGUGUGACUGCGUACCUUUUGUAUAAUGGGUCAGCGACUUAUAUUCUGUAGCAAGGUUAACCGUAUAGGGGAGCCGGAGGGAAACCGAGUCUUAACCGGGCGUUAAGUUGCAGGGUAUAGACCCGAAACCCGGUGAUCUAGCCAUGGGCAGGUUGAAGGUUGGGUAACACUAACUGGAGGACCGAACCGACUAAUGUUGAAAAAUUAGCGGAUGACCUGUGGCUGGGGGUGAAAGGCCAAUCAAACCGGGAGAUAGCUGGUUCUCCCCGAAAGCUAUUUAGGUAGCGCCUCGUGAAUUCAUCUCCGGGGGUAGAGCACUGUUUCGGCUAGGGGGCCAUCCCGGCUUACCAACCCGAUGCAAACUGCGAAUACCGGAGAAUGUUAUCACGGGAGACACACGGCGGGUGCUAACGUCCGUCGUGAAGAGGGAAACAACCCAGACCGCCAGCUAAGGUCCCAAAGUCAUGGUUAAG
rnacentral:rRNA from 1 species